UUCCUAUGCGACAGCGGAGACACAAGACGCUCAUAAAAUACCCAUUUUGUGCAUUUGUGUUUGCAAAAAAAGGAAAAUGAAAUCAAGUCACAUUAUGAGUAUUGCCUUUUUUCUUGCCGUGAUGUACGGACCAUGUUAUUCAGGAUUUGAUUGCAUGAAUAGUGGUGGAGUUUGUACGAACAGCUUUUGUCCCAAGGGGUAUUUCAAGGACUAUUUACCACACGAAGACUGUUGUUCUACUGAAAAAUGUUGUCUUCCCCUGAUACAUCAAAAGCCUUCCAAUUAUCCAAGUUACUAAGACUUUCUUGACGUGAAAUUACAUUGUAAGAACUGAGGGUUUAAUGAUUGAAUAAAACAAUAAUAAAUGAUAUAACAC